rnacentral:rRNA from 1 species
UACAGAGGGUGCGAGCGUUGUCCGGAAUCACUGGGCGUAAAGGGCGCGUAGGUGGCGGCCCAAGUCCAUGGUGAAAGCUCGAUGCUCAACAUCGAGUCGGCCACGGAUACUGGGUUGCUCGAGCACUGUAGGGGCAGAUGGAAUUCCGGGUGUAGCGGUGGAAUGCGUAGAGAUCCGGAAGAACACCGGUGGCGAAGGCGGUCUGCUGGGCGAGUUGCUGACACUGAGG